AACGCGAAGAACCUUACCUGGCCUUGACAUGCUGAGAACUUUCUAAAGAUAGAUUGGUGCCUUCGGGAACUCAGACACAGGUGCUGCAUGGCUGUCGUCAGCUCGUGUCGUGAGAUGUUGGGUUAAGUCCCGUAACGAGGGCAACCCUUGUCCUUAUUUACCAGCACGUAAUGGUGGGCACUCUAAGGAGACUGCCGGUGACAAACCGGAGGAAGGUGGGGAUG
rnacentral:rRNA from 1 species